UACGUAGGGUGCGAGCGUUAAUCGGAAUUACUGGGCGUAAAGCGUGCGCAGGCGGUUUUGUAAGCCAGAUGUGAAAUCCCCGGGCUUAACCUGGGAAUGGCAUUUGGGACUGCAAGGCUUGAGUGCGGCAGAGGAGACUGGAAUUCCUGGUGAGCAGUGAAAAUGCGUAGAUAUCAGGAGGAACACCGAUGGCGAAGGCAGGUCUCUGGGCUGACACUGACGCUGAGACGCGAAAGCGUGGGGAGCAAACAGG
rnacentral:rRNA from 1 species